UUAAUUGAAGAGUUUGAUCAUGGCUCAGAUUGAACGCUGGCGGCAGGCCUAACACAUGCAAGUCGAGCGGCAGCACAGAGGAACUUGUUCCUUGGGUGGCGAGCGGCGGACGGGUGAGUAAUGCCUGGGAAAUUGCCCGGUAGAGGGGGGAUAACCAUUGGAAACGAUGGCUAAUACCGCAUAACCUCGCAAGAGCAAAGCAGGGGACCUUCGGGCCUUGCGCUACCGGAUAUGCCCAGGUGGGAUUAGCUAGUUGGUGAGGUAAGGGC
rnacentral:rRNA from 1 species